CUGUCUAGCUUCCCCAUGUUGCCACUGGCUCCUUUGUCCCCCUGCGGCCCCUGCUCCCCAGGCUCUCCUGGGUGGUGGCGGGGGGGACGAGCUGCUCCCCGUCCCAUGGCAUGGCCCUGCUCCGUGCUGGCUCGGUACUAUGGCCGCUCUUCCUGUCGAGCUGCUGCGGGCCCUGGGCGAGGGCUGUGGCCCCUCUCCUCCCCGUGUCCGCUGGGACGGGGCGCCCCGAUGCCUCUGUUCCCUCCUGGAAGGCGAGGCCGCAGGGCCGCGGGCUGAUACACCCAACUGCACUGCCAGAGCACAAGAGGCCGGAGCACCCCGACACCCAGCUUCCCGAGCUCGGGGUGCUGCAUGCCGGGAUGCCGAGCUCCUUAACAUGGGCCGCAGCACCGCCUGCCUGCUUUCCCUAGGGAUAUGGGAGCCACCGAUGCUCGUGUCCCCGGGCGCGGGGCGCGGGAGCUGCCAACGCUCCUGUCUCCGAAUGUGGGGUGCGGGAACAGCCAAUGCUCGUGUCCCUAAACAUGGGCUGCUGAGACGCCGAUAUUCGUGUCCCCCAACGUGGGGUGUGGGAGCCAUCAACACUUGUGUCCCCAAAUGUGGGGCGUGGGAACAGCCAAUGCUUGUCUCCCCAAAUGUGGGGCGCAGGAGCCACCAGCACUUGUGUCCCUGGGCGCAAGAACAGCCAAUGGUUUUGUGUCCCUGAACAUGGGCCGUGGAGCCACCGAUGCUCCCGUCCCCAAACAUGGGGCCGUGGAGCCACCAAUGCUCACGUCCCCGAAUGUGGGAUACGGGAACAGCUGAUGCUCAUGUCCCCGAAUGUGGGGCGUGGGAGCCCCCGAAGUUCACAUUCCACAAACGUAGGGCGCGGGAGCCGCCAACGCUCAAGUCCCUGAAUGUGAGGCGCAGGAACAGCUAAUGCUCCUGUUCCUGAACAUGGGGCACGGGAGCCCCCCAUGCUCAUGUUCCCAGACGUGGGGCAUGGGAGCCCCUGAUGCUCACGUUCCCCAAAUGCGGGGCACGGGAGCCCCUGAUGCUCAUGUUCCCAAACGUGGGGGGUGGGAGUCCCGAUGCUCAUGUCCCUGAACGUGGCCCAGCACGGGUUCCCUAACACGAGGUGCUGGUGCUUCCCAACACCGCGUUCCUGAACGCAGCAGAAAGCAACACUCGGAUGUCCAAGUUUCCAGGCGCUGGAGGCCCCCAGCGCUGGGCCUCUGCCCUGCUCUGGGGGCUGCAUCCUGCGAGGGUGCUGACGGCUCCGCAGCUGGGCCGGGGGUGGAAACCGCAGCAGCAGCAGGAGCCGCACAGCACCCGCCUCCGGCACCCACAGAGCCGCCGGCCGCGUGCCCCGCCGGGAGCUGGGGCACCCUGCCGCGACCCGCAGGCUCCCUCCCGUCUCCCGAGGGAGCCGCGAGUCCCUGUCCUCGCCCGCAGCGCCCGGGGACCGGCCUCCGGCUGCCCCGACUGUCCCCGCAGGCCUCAUGGACGCGCCAUGGCCCGAGGGGCUGCUCUGGGGCCUCCUCCUCCUCGUCCCCACCGCGCUGCUGGCUGCCCUCUGCGCCCGCUGCCGAGACCCCUGCGGCCCCUCUCGCACUCCGAUCAAGCAGCAGAAGGUGCCCUCAGCAGAGCCGUUCCUGUCCAUCCCGCGGUCCCCACAAGCCCCUCAGAGCCGCAAGGUCUCCUUCACCCGCCCAGAACCGGACAACGCGUGCCCAGCUACGAGAACGAGGGCGAGGCAGGCGGCCAUCCCCGGGUGGCCUGGCCACGCGCCCCGUCCCCGGCCCCCCCGGCCGCCCCCGAGAGCGAGGACGACUACAACAACGAGCUCUACGCCACCGGCUACGUGGAGGUGCUCCCGGACGGCGCGGCCGAGCCCAGUCCACCCCAGCAACCCCAGGCCAGGGACAGCGGCUCCUUGGUGGCGCCUGGCGAGGAGUAUGAGAACGUCCCCGAUGGCCACCGCCAGUCCCUUGCAGACAGCCUGGAGUACGUCAACAUCCCCGAUGCCGGGGCCAGCCCCGCACCCCGCUACGCCAGCGAGAGCGAGGAGGAUGCCCCGGACUACGAGAACCUGCAGCACUGAGCGCCAGGCGCUGCCGGCCGUCGCCCGGCGUGGGCACCAGGAGCAGCGGCUGGAGCCCUGGGAACUGGCCGGGCCGCCCCGUUAAUUUAUUGCACCCCGCCCCGUCCGCGCACCUUCGUCUGACACGUCCUGAGAAGCAGCCCCUGCUGCCCCCCGGCCUGCCCGGGGUCCCGGGGCCCCGCCCUCCGCAACGCUGAAUAAAGCUGUGGGAGCUGCACUUAGCUGCGCCUCGGCCUCUCUGCGCCGUGGGGCAGGCCGCAGGGCUGGGCCCCAUGCUGCCAUGCGCGGGGGGGCGGAGGCUCGCCGGACCGGGGACAGGCUGACCACGAGUCCAUCAGCAUGCCCCAGGCAGGCGCUGCUCCGGGGGUGGCCUUGCCAUGGGGCAGGGAGGCCAGAGCUGCCCCACCUGCAGGCAGACCCCUUCCCUGUCAGUGAACCCCAAUAAAUCAGAGGGGUGGCUGCCCCCCCUUGGCUCCA